GCAGGCUGCAACCCGCCUGCGUGAAGUUGGAAUCGCUAGUAAUCGCGGAUCAGCAUGCCGCGGUGAAUACGUUCCCGGGCCUUGUACACACCGCCCGUCACACCAUGAGAGUCGGGAACACCCGAAGUCCGUAGCCUAACCGCAAGGGGGGCGCGGCCGAAGGUGGGUUCGAUAAUUGGGGUGAAGUCGUAACAAGGUACC
rnacentral:rRNA from 1 species